rnacentral:rRNA from 1 species
CAACUCUCAACAACGGAUAUCUUGGCUCUCGCAACGAUGAAGAACGCAGCGAAAUGCGAUACGUAGUGUGAAUUGCAGAAUUCCGUGAACCAUCGAAUCUUUGAACGCAUAUUGCGCUCGAGGCUUCGGCCAAGAGCAUGUCUGCCUCAGCGUCGUUUUGACACCUCACUCCCAUACCUUCUGGUAUCAUGUAUUGAGCUACGGCUUGAUGCUGGGCGUGGAUCUGGCUUCCCCAGGGCUUUCCUGGGUUGGCUGAAGUGCAGAGGCUAGAGCACGGACCCUUAUGGGCGUCAACUGGAUAGGUAGCCCCCACGUAAGUGGAUCUACACGAAGUUGUCUGCCUGGGAAACGUGUUGGCGGCCAAACAGGAAACUACUCUCACUUCGACCUGAGCUCAGGCAAGAUUACCCGCUGAACUUAAGCAUAUCAAUAAGCGGUGGAA